UCGCACGGGUCCCGCAAGGGACAGUGGCGGACGGGUGAGUAACACGUGGAUAACCUGCCCGACUCCCCGGGAUAACAGACCGAAAGGUCUGCUAAUACCGGGUAAGCUCACGGGGCCGCAUGGUCCUGGGAGAAAAGGCCCCGCAAGGGGUUGGGGACGGAGGGGUCCGCGGUCCAUUAGCUAGUUGGAGGGGUAACGGCCCACCAAGGCGACGAUGGAUAGCCGGCCUGAGAGGGCGACCGGCCACACUGGGACUGAGACACGGCCCAGACUCCUACGGGAGGCAGCAGUCGGGAAUUUUGGGCAAUGGCCGAAAGGGCUGACCCAGCAACGCCGCGUGAGUGAAGAAGGCCUUCGGGUUGUAAAGCUCUGUUGCUCGUGAAGAACGGUACUGUGAGGAAAUGCGCAGUACUUGACGGUAGCGGGUGAGGAAGCCCCGGCUAACUACGUGCCAGCAGCCGCGGUAAUACGUAGGGGGCGAGCGUUGUCCGGAUUUAUUGGGCGUAAAGGGCGUGUAGGCGGUCUGUUAAGUCAGGGGUGAAACUCCGCAGCUCAACUGCGGACCUGCCUCUGAUACUGGCGGACUUGAGUACUCUAGAGGGCAGUGGAAUUCCCGGUGUAGCAGUGAAAUGCGUAGAGAUCGGGAGGAACACCAGUGGCGAAGGCGGCUGCCUGGGGAGAAACUGACGCUGAGGCGCGAAAGCUGGGGGAGCAAACGGGAUUAGAUACCCCGGUAGUCCCAGCCGUAAACGAUGAGUGCUAGGUGUAGGGGGUAUCGAC
rnacentral:rRNA from 1 species